AAUUGAUUUGGGGCUACUGGUCUUUGGUAAGCACCUAUUUUUAGAUGAUGCAUUUGAUUAUUCUGGCAUUCCAUUUUAUGUGCAUCAGAUAAAAUCUGUUUUUCUUUACCUCAGUUUUGUUUGAUGUGGGUUUAUUUGCAUAUUAUUUACUAAAGAAAAUGGUUUGAGGUGAAGAGCCGAAGGCCUGAAGCCAAAUGUUCCUAAUCAGGACGAUGACCUUCAGGAAACAAGGCCAACGCUAUGUGUGCCUGCAAGAUUGAAGAUCCUAGAUAUUUUUAGUUUUCUCCAUGAUCCUACACCACUGUAUCACUUUAUGCAGAUCGCUUUAUCAUUCAUUUUUAUGUUCAAAAUAUGGUUGUCAUAGAUGGUAUUACAGGGAUAGCACUAUAUUUUUCAUGUGUUGUCGUAAACAGAGCUCCC
rnacentral:lncRNA from 1 species